UCAGCAUGCGUUGCCGCAGCGAGAAGAGCGAGUCGUCCGUACUGUCUCGGCAAGCACACACAGUCGCCCGAGCCGUUGCGUUUUUCAAAAUGGCUAACUUUUGCGGACCCGCCGUCGUAUCGUUGCGUGCAGAAGUGUCGUCGCAGUAGCUGAGCGGUAGGUGCUGGUGCAAUUAUUUGCCCCCCAAUCGAUGGGGGAACGGUCGCGCGACACGGUGCGCUUGCAGUUGGUGCGUGAAAAUGCGGUGAUUUUGCAGCAAUUUCCAAUUUCCCGUGCGUUUUAUUGUGUGUGGUGGUGGUGUGUCCCGGUCUCGCGGAGGUGUACAGUAGCAGCGGGUACACACCGACCACGAACACGGGCAAUGUGGUGAUGAUGAUGAUGAUCGGUGCUGUGUGGUUGGCAUAGCUGUGUGUGCAUAGUUUUCUUUGUGUGUUUUCCCAGUGAACGAACCCCGCGCCCGAAGGGUUACAGCCGCCGCGCCGUUACGGAGAAUUUUGGGAAUCGUCCUCCUCCGUCUGUGCGCCGUCUUUUGGUGCUUGGUGCGAGUAAGUGUGAUUUGCAAUUCGACAGCAAACAGCAAAUAAAAAAAACCCUCUGUGUGGGUGUGUGUGGAUUUAAAGGCGCACACGGCAGCCUCUGUGUGUGCGCGCGCGCGCGCGAGUGUGAGUGUUUCCUUUAGUGUAUGUGUAAGUGUGCGCGGCCGUGUGUGUGUGCUGUGUGGAGAAAAAACGGGCGCAUUUAGUGAUAUCAUCGGUUGCGUGCCGCUUUCCUAUUUCCCCGGACGGAUGUGUGAACGUGUGUUGUGCGCCCGUCGGCUUUUCAAGUGAUUGUUUCGAAAGGAGCAAAUUUAAAAAAAAAUGAAAUGAAUAUAAUAAUAUCAAGAUACACGAUUAGAGUGCGGUAAAUGUGCUUUCCUACAGUGAUUGUGUGUGUGUGUGAUGAUUUGAAUGUGUUGAAAAGAACGUUGUGAAAAAGUGAAAAUUGUGAAAAUUUACGGUUUAUGUAGAGCAAAAGUGACGUCGUACCGUGCUAAAAAGGUGAUUCGUAAAAGUGCAAACAAGAAACCUUCGUGGUGUGUGUGAGUGUUCUAAAAAAAGAUAAGAAACAAAGUUUGUGUAAAACUUCCUGAAAGAGUGUUAAAACUACGUGCAUAACAGCAGUGCACCAAUUGAACAGUCACAAUUGGUUGUAGAAUUAUUAAGCGGAUUUAGAGAGCUACUGAACAAUUGCCUCUUGGUGUGAGUUGCUACAAAAACACAAACGAGGGAUAAACAAAACUGGAAAGGCUGCCUUCUGCAUUUUCAACGGUAAGAUAUUCCACACCGCGUGUCCAGGCGACGCAUUUUCGAUUGUUUCGCAGCGAGCAGUCGCUGCGUUUUUUUUGUUACCGAACAAUGGAGACAUAGACGCCGCAGCGCUCAAACGGCAUAGCACACAACCAACUCUUGCUGCCUCUGUCCGGAAGGUUACAUUACAUAGAGAGAAAGAGAGAGAAAGAAAGCAGAAAAAAAGCACGAAGAGACCGGCGAGACCAGAGGACUUCGGUUCCGGAAAACUUCAGGCCAGGUUUUCGAUUCUGCCGCAAAGCGCACGUAACGGGCGUGUACAAGGCAAGGCCAACUAAUGGGUGGAAGCUCCCGGACCGCGUUAACGUCAAGCACGGAGGCGGCCCAUCGUCAGCCGGAUUGUGGUGCCAGCUUCCGGGACAGCAGUAGCAGCAGCAGCAGCAGCAGCAGCAGGAACCACGGGCCGCUAGUGGACUUAAAAGAGAAGAAGCAGCAGCAGUAGAGCACGGGGCGAAAAAGGGGCACG